GACGAACGCUGGCGGCGUGCCUAAUACAUGCAAGUCGAACGCUUCUUUCCUCCCGUGUGUUUGCACUCAAUUGGAAAGAGGAGUGGCGGACGGGUGAGUAACACGUGGGUAACCUACCCAUCAGAGGGGGAUAACACUUGGAAACAGGUGCUAAUAUCGCAUAACAGUUUAUGCCGCAUUGCAUAAGAGUGAAAGGCGCUUUCGGGUGUCGCUGAUGGCUGGACCCGCGGUGCAUUAGCUAGUUGGUGAGGUAACGGCCCACCAAGGCCACGAGGCGUAGCCGACCUGAGAGGGUGAUCGGCCACACUGGGACUGAGACACGGCCCAGACUCCUACGGGAGGCAGCAGUAGGGAAUCUUCGGCAAUGGGCGAAAGUCUGACCGAGCAACGCCGCGUGAGUGAGGAAGGUUUUCGGAUCGUAAAACUCUGUUGUUAGAGAAGAACAAGGACGUUAGUAACUGAACGUCCCCUGACGGUAUCUAACCAGAAAGCCACGGCUAACUACGUG
rnacentral:rRNA from 1 species